GCCGCUGCAGAGUUUGAUCCUGGCUCAGAUUGAACGCUGGCGGCAGGCUUAACACAUGCAAGUCGAGCGGUAACAGGAGAAGCUUGCUUCUCGCUGACGAGCGGCGGACGGGUGAGUAAUACUUAGGAAUCUGCCCAGUAGUGGGGGAUAGCUCGGGGAAACUCGAAUUAAUACCGCAUACACCCUACGGGGAAAAGGGGGCGCUUGCGCUCUCGCUAUUGGAUGAGCCUAAGUCGGAUUAGCUAGUUGGUGGGGUAAAGGCCUACCAAGGCGACGAUCUGUAGCUGGUCUGAGAGGAUGAUCAGCCACACCGGGACUGAGACACGGCCCGGACUCCUACGGGAGGCAGCAGUGGGGAAUAUUGGACAAUGGGGGCAACCCUGAUCCAGCCAUGCCGCGUGUGUGAAGAAGGCCUUUUGGUUGUAAAGCACUUUAAGCAGUGAAGAAGACCUAACGGUUAAUACCCGUUAGCGAUGACAUUAGCUGCAGAAUAAGCACCGGCUAACUCUGUGCCAGCAGCCGCGGUAAUACAGAGGGUGCAAGCGUUAAUCGGAAUUACUGGGCGUAAAGCGAGCGUAGGUGGCUUGAUAAGUCAGAUGUGAAAUCCCCGGGCUUAACCUGGGAACUGCAUCUGAUACUGUUAGGCUAGAGUAGGUGAGAGGGAGGUAGAAUUUCAGGUGUAGCGGUGAAAUGCGUAGAGAUCUGAAGGAAUACCGAUGGCGAAGGCAGCCUCCUGGCAUCAUACUGACACUGAGGUUCGAAAGCGUGGGUAGCAAACAGGAUUAGAUACCCUGGUAGUCCACGCCGUAAACGAUGUCUACUAGUCGUUGGGGAACUUGAUUCCUUAGUGACGCAGCUAACGCAAUAAGUAGACCGCCUGGGGAGUACGGCCGCAAGGUUAAAACUCAAAUGAAUUGACGGGGGCCCGCACAAGCGGUGGAGCAUGUGGUUUAAUUCGAUGCAACGCGAAGAACCUUACCUGGUCUUGACAUAUCUAGAAUCCUGCAGAGAUGCGGGAGUGCCUUCGGGAAUUAGAAUACAGGUGCUGCAUGGCUGUCGUCAGCUCGUGUCGUGAGAUGUUGGGUUAAGUCCCGCAACGAGCGCAACCCUUUUCCUUAGUUACCAGCGGUUUGGCCGGGGACUCUAAGGAUACUGCCAGUGACAAACUGGAGGAAGGCGGGGACGACGUCAAGUCAUCAUGGCCCUUACGACCAGGGCUACACACGUGCUACAAUGGUAGGUACAGAGGGCUGCUACACAGCGAUGUGAUGCGAAUCUCAAAAAGCCUAUCGUAGUCCAGAUUGGAGUCUGCAACUCGACUCCACGAAGUCGGAAUCGCUAGUAAUCGCGGAUCAGAAUGCCGCGGUGAAUACGUUCCCGGGCCUUGUACACACCGCCCGUCACACCAUGGGAGUUGAUUGCACCAGAAGUGGGUAGCCUAACUUUUAGAGGGCGCUCACCACGGUGUGGUCGAUGACUGGGGUGAAGUCGUAACAAGGUAA
rnacentral:rRNA from 1 species